rnacentral:rRNA from 1 species
AUGGAGCUCGUAUUCUCUGAUGAAGCCCUGGCCAUUGUCGUCCCCAUAGCUGCCUACUGGGUCUACUCCGGCAUGUACAUGGCGCUUGGACGGUCCAUGGACCAGUACAGGCUACACCCAAGGGACGAGGAGCGCAGCAAGAACCUCGUGCCCAAGCGCGACGUCGUCAAGGUCGUCCUCCUCCAGCAGCUCCUGCAGGCCGCCGUCGCCGCCACCGUUUUCACGGUACUGGGAGGCGAAAUCCCCGCCGCCGGCGAAUCACGGCAGCGGACGACCUGGGCCAUCUGCCUGACGGUGGCGCUGCAGAUCGCUGUGGGCAUGGCCGUGCUGGACGGGUGGCAGUACGCGUGGCACCGGUACAUGCACCGCAACAAGUUCCUGUACCGGCACGUCCACUCGUGGCACCACCGCCUCGUCGUGCCCUACGCCUUCGGCGCGCAGUACAACCACCCCGUGGAGGGCCUCCUCCUGGACACCGUCGGCGGUGCGCUCGCCUUCCUCGCCUCCGGCAUGUCGCCCCGCGUCUCCAUCUUCUUCUUCACGCUCUGCACCAUCAAGGGCGUCGACGACCACUGUGGCCUGUGGCUGCCGGGGAACGUGUUCCGCCUCUGCUUCUGGAACAACACGGCGUACCACGACGUCCACCAUCAGCCGCGCGCCGGCAGAUACAACUUCUCGCAGCCCUUCUUUGUGACGUGGGACAAGGUGUUUGGGACGCACAUGCCCUACGUCGUCGAGCACAGGCCCCAAGGAGGGCUCCACGUUCGGCCCAUGGAAGCCCUUAGCUAA